ACGCUGGCGGCGUGCUUAACACAUGCAAGUCGAACGGUGAACCAGAGCUUGCUCUGGGGAUCAGUGGCGAACGGGUGAGUAACACGUGGGCAACCUGCCCCAGACUCUGGGAUAACCCCGGGAAACCGGAGCUAAUAUCGGAUAUGACCACUUCGGACAUCCGAUGGUGGUGGAAAGUUUUUCGGUCUGGGAUGGGCCCGCGGCCUAUCAGCUAGUUGGUGGGGUAAUGGCCUACCAAGGCGACGACGGGUAGCCGGCCUGAGAGGGCGACCGGCCACACUGGAACUGAGACACGGUCCAGACUCCUACGGGAGGCAGCAGUGGGGAAUAUUGCACAAUGGGCGAAAGCCUGAUGCAGCGACGCCGCGUGAGGGACGACGGCCUUCGGGUUGUAAACCUCUUUCAGCAGGGACGAAGCGAAAGUGACUGUACCUGCAAAAAGAAGCACCGGCUAACUACGUG
rnacentral:rRNA from 1 species